AGAUGUGAGGGCAAUCUGGUAUGACAUCUGUCACCUCAUUUAUCACCAGGGUUGAUUUAGCUGAUCUGGCUGGCUAUGCAGGUGUCUCUUUCUUCUCUCACUGCUCCAUGUGUGUUCCUUCUGUGGCCACUGACUACGUGAAAGACGACAAACUUCCCUGAUAGAGGGAAGGGUUCUUGGGUCAAAGCUAUAUAAGUAGCUGUGCUCCCCUGCUAGAACCUUUGAACAAGCUCUCAAAGUCUUAUUUGUAGGAGAACGUACGGUAGUCAAACUUUCAAGACUUCAGAUACAUUCAAAUUAGGAGCUGCAUUU
rnacentral:snRNA from 1 species